CCUACCUUGGCUGCCGGCGCUGUCCUCCAGUCCUCGGAACCCUACGACUCUGGUUCCAUCUGUCUCCCUCGCCGGCUCCAGACAGGCGCCCACUAGAGCGCAGGCGCCACCUAGUGGCUGCGGGCCGGUAGCGCUGGCAGAGGCUGGGAGGUGCGAGCGCAGUGCAGGGCGGAAAUGCAGCUGGGCCUUCCCACGUGGGCGGCUUCCUACACGGCGGAGCCCGGGGGUGCAGAUCCGGCCUGGGCCGGACCACCUUCACCCCUUUGGGGAGCGUGGGGAACGGAGUUCGCUGUACUUUUUCUUGGAGGCGUGGAGGAGUUGUCAGGCCUGGGCCCCUGACCUGGGAUCCACCUUGGGAUUUUCCUGGCAGGGCUCGUGGAUAUUUUCCUUCCACCAUCAGCAUUGAGUACAGCCUAGCGUGGCAUGGCUUCUCUUUUAAACGCGCUGGGAGCAUCCGAAGUGAAUAUUCAUUGAGAAUCUGUACACCAGACACCUGUGUAAACGAGGGAUCCAUUCAAGAACAACCACAAAAACCUCUGCCUCCUGGUUGCAUGCGUGAACUCACAGCAUGUACACACAACAGUGAGCAAACCCAAACCCGACUAAGUCCCAGCAUAGAGUGGGAAGGUGGGACCGAAGUUCUGCACCUGACUGAGGAGCUACUGGUAUUUGAUAACCAAUGGGAGAGGGAAAGUCAGUUUUCUUUAAAUGAUUUGACAAUGAAGGGACCGGCUCCCCUUUUGGCAGUCAUAGCGGCGGAACACGUGCUUGUAUGACCUUGUCCUGGACACUAGAAAGUCAGAUGCCUGCCUCGUGACAAGGAACCAAUCAGAAGUUAGCUGUGGCGCUAUGCUUUACGACCCUGGGUGUACUUUAUGGACAAGCACACAGCAAGCAAUGACGCAAAGCAUAGCAACCACCCUGGGAGGGCCUUUGGGCCAUAACAACCAAUUGGCCAAUCAACACAGGGCAAUCCCUCCAAGGCUGGAGGCAUACCAAUAGUGAGCCUGUGUGUACCCCUAGACACUCCCCUUACG
rnacentral:lncRNA from 1 species